rnacentral:rRNA from 1 species
GGGGAAUAUUGCGCAAUGGGCGAAAGCCUGACGCAGCAACGCCGCGUGGAGGAUGACGGUUUUCGGAUUGUAAACUCCUUUGAUCGGGGAAGAAWAAAAUGACGGUACCCGAAGAACAAGCACCGGCUAAHUACGUGCCAGCAGCCGCGGUAAUACGUAGGGUGCAAGCGUUAUCCGGAUUUACUGGGUGUAAAGGGCGAGUAGGCGGGACUGCAAGUCAGAUGUGAAAUCUUGGGGCUCAACCCCAAGCCUGCAUUUGAAACUGCAGUUCUUGAGUGAUGGAGAGGCAGGCGGAAUUCCUAGUGUAGCGGUGAAAUGCGUAGAUAUUAGGAGGAACACCAGUGGCGAAGGCGGCCUGCUGGACAUUAACUGACGCUGAGGAGCGAAAGCGUGGGGAGCAAACAGGAUUAGAUACCCUGGUAGUCCACGCUGUAAACGAUGGAUAUCUAGGUGUGGCGGGU